GGGUGAGCCAGAGGGACUGACGGGUCCCCCUAGCUCCGCGGGAGGACCUGACCCGAGCCGUGGGGGGCAGGCGGGCGAGCCAGAUCGACUGACGGGUUCCCCCCUAGCUCCGCGGGAGGGCUUGACCCGAGCCGUGGGGGGCUGGCGGGCGAGCCAGAUCGACUGACGGGUUCCUCCCCAGUUCCGCGGGAGGGCCUGACCCGAGCCGUGGGGGGCAGGUGGGCGAGCAAGACGGACUGACGGUUACCGCCCCCCAGCUCCGCGGGAGGGCCUGACCCGAGCCGCGGUGGGCAAGGGGC